rnacentral:pre_miRNA from 1 species
AAUAAAUUAAUUUUUCACCUUUUAUCUUUAAUUUUUGACUCUUCAUUUUAUUCAAAUUUUUUUGCGACUGAUAUUUUUGUUUUUAUUAGAUGAUAAAUAAUGAAUAGUAAUUUACGUGUGACUAAUUUUUUUUUAAUUUUCUAAAAAUUUUUUAAAUAAGACAGAUGGUCAAACGUUGGACGCAGCAACCGGAGAAUUCUUUUUUA